rnacentral:rRNA from 1 species
GACGGAGGAUGCAAGCGUUAUCCGGAAUGAUUGGGCGUAAAGCGUCCGCAGGUGGCGAUGUAAGUCUGCUGUUAAAGAGUGAGGCUCAACCUCAUAAGAGCAGUGGAAACUACAUAGCUAGAGUGCGGUAGGGGCAGAGGGAAUUCCUGGUGUAGCGGUGAAAUGCGUAGAGAUCAGGAAGAACACCGGUGGCGAAAGCGCUCUGCUAGGCCGCAACUGACACUGAGGGACGAAAGCUAGGGGAGCGAAUGGG